rnacentral:rRNA from 1 species
CAUACCGAAAGGUAUGCUAAUACGGGAUAAUAUAUUUGAGAGGCAUCUCUUAAAUAUCAAAGGUGAGCCAGUACAGGAUGGACCCGCGUCUGAUUAGCUAGUUGGUAAGGUAACGGCUUACCAAGGCAACGAUCAGUAGCCGACCUGAGAGGGUGAUCGGCCACAUUGGAACUGAGACACGGUCCAAACUCCUACGGGAGGCAGCAG